GACUCAACCAACCAGUUUCGACAACGCGAACUCCGAACUUAAUCGAAACAUCAAAGGA
rfam:Drosophila mojavensis strain TSC#15081-1352.22 Ctg01_11052, whole genome shotgun sequence.